rnacentral:rRNA from 1 species
CCCCUUCGGGGGAGCGGCGGACGGCUGAGUAACACGUUGGUACCUGCCCCGAACUCGGGAAUAAGCACUGGAAACGGUGUCUAAUGCCCGAUAGUCUCCUUGGAGUAAAGCUUUUGCGGUUCGGGAGGGGCCUGCGCGGGAUUAGUUUGUUGGUGAGGUAACGGCUCACCAAGACUACGAUCUCUAGAUGGUCUGAGAGGAUGAUCAUCCAGACUGGGACUGAGACACGGCCCAG